UGGCGGCCGUAGCGCGGUGGUCCCACCUGACCCCAUGCCGAACUCAGAAGUGAAACGCCGUAGCGCCGAUGG
rnacentral:rRNA from 1 species